AACGACGCUGGCGGCAGGCUUAACACAUGCAAGUCGAGCGCCCCGCAAGGGGAGCGGCAGACGGGUGAGUAACGCGUGGGAAUCUACCCAUCCCUACGGAACAACUCUGGGAAACUGGAGCUAAUACCGUAUACGCCCUUUGGGGGAAAGAUUUAUCGGGGAUGGAUGAGCCCGCGUUGGAUUAGCUAGUUGGUGGGGUAAUGGCCUACCAAGGCAACGAUCCAUAGCUGGUCUGAGAGGAUGAUCAGCCACACUGGGACUGAGACACGGCCCAGACUCCUACGGGAGGCAGCAGUGGGAAUAUUGGACAAUGGGCGCAAGCCUGAUCCAGCCAUGCCGCGUGAGUGAUGACGGCCCUAGGGUUGUAAAGCUCUUUCACCGGUGAAGAUAAUGACGGUAACCGGAGAAGAAGCCCCGGCUAACUUCGUG
rnacentral:rRNA from 1 species